rnacentral:rRNA from 1 species
CUUUUAUUGAGAGUUUGAUCCUGGCUCAGGAUGAACGCUGGCGGCGUGCCUAACACAUGCAAGUCGAACGAAGCA